CUCUUGUCUGUCCAGCGCAGUCUGGAAUAUUCAGACAGCACUUCGGACCCUGUGGCACUCCCUCAGUACUGCACUGGUGUGUAAGACUCACUUUCUCAGGUCAAGUCUUCCCUAUUAACUCACAAUCUCGGGAUCCAGACCCUCACCAACUGAGCCAUGAAUAAAAGCAGAAGAAGCAUACGUUCUUACCUCCUUGUCAACGCCACAGAACCGUAUCUCCCAUUUCAACUUAAUUAAAGUCUUUCAAACAAGACAGCC